GAUCCUGGCUCAGGAUGAACGCUGGCGGCGUGCUUAACACAUGCAAGUCGAACGAAGCACUUUAACCUGAUUCUUCGGAUGAAGGUUUUUGUGACUGAGUGGCGGACGGGUGAGUAACGCGUGGGUAACCUGCCUCAUACAGGGGGGAUAACAGUUAGAAAUGACUGCUAAUACCGCAUAAGACCACAGAGUCGCAUGGCUCAGUGGGAAAAACUCCGGUGGUAUGAGAUGGACCCGCGU
rnacentral:rRNA from 1 species